CAGCCGCCGCGGGAAUACGUAGGUGGCAAGCGUUGUCCGGAAUUAUUGGGCGUAAAGGGCUCGCAGGCGGUUUCUUAAGUCUGAUGUGAAAGCCCCCGGCUCACCCGGGGAGGGUCAUUGGAAACUGGGAAACUUGAGUGCAGAAGAGGAGAGUGGAAUUCCACGCGUAGCGGUGAAAUGCGUAGAGAUGUGGAGGAACACCAGUGGCGAAGGCGACUCUCUGGUCUGUAACUGACGCUGAGGAGCGAAAGCGUGGGGAGCGAACAGGAUUAGAUACCCGUGUAGUCCUGUCUCUUAUACA
rnacentral:rRNA from 1 species